rnacentral:rRNA from 1 species
UAGGGAAUCUUCCACAAUGGGCGAAAGUCUGACCGAGCAACGCCGCGUGAGUGAAGAAGGUUUUCGGAUCGUAAAACUCUGUUGGUAGAGAAGAACGUUGGUGAGAGUGGAAAGCUCAUCAAGUGACGGUAACUACCCAGAAAGGGACGGCUAACUACGUGCCAA